AACCGCCGUAUACGAGAACCGUACGUACGGUGGUGUGAGAGGUCGGAAAAUAAAGUAGGAGGAAAACUAUUUUAU
rnacentral:misc_RNA from 1 species